CUCUGUUCCACUUUUCUUAACCUGUCAGGAUCGAACAGUCACACUUUCUGACAUAUUUGGGGCUCCUUCUUGUGCCUUUCCAAAUUCUUCCACAUUGACGUCACCCUUUAAUUGGGACCCCUGCAUCUUUGCUUAGAGACUCACGGGUCUCUCCACAGCAGUACCUCUGCCUCGCUGAGGGCCUGCACCGCUGUCUUCUCGGUUGUAUUCAGUCUUUCUCCUCACGCGCACCAUUUGUUAUCCCCCUUCCUUUGGGAAUCCCACCCCCUGCUCUCGUUAUUGUUCCGCUCUGAUUGUCCCAAUGGGCUCCACAAACCUUAAUUAGCGCUGACUGAGAUUAAUGGUGGCGAACUUAUUGACCCGCUGAUUGUGAAGUAAUCUUAAGUGCCACGAAUGAGAGAAGAUAUUAGUGAUGGCUUUAUCCGUGUGGCUGUUUUCAUUGCAAAAUUCAAACGGCUACGUUUUACACAUUAAUUAAUAUUACUGAAAUAGAAAAUUAAACAAUAUAAUGCUCUUCAGAUAGAAUUGUGAAUUUCUUUUUCCCAUUACAGCCUUAGUGGAGCCAUUUCUGCCGACCGAAGUGUGUUCCUCUUUGAAUGGGCCAUCUCGGGUCAGGACCCCUCCCGGUCCCUUUUUAAGGCAUCAGCCGAGCAUGAAUUCUAACCACACCACAUGGUUUGGGUGAGGAAAGCAUUGUCUGUUCAAAUGAGUGUUUGUGAGAAGAAGAAAUAACUUUUCCUCUCAGUUGUGCUGGAUAGAAUACAGACUACAAUCCUACUUGUUUUUAGAAUGAAUUAUAUUAGAUUUGUAGAAUUUUACAUUUCUUGUGGUAAAUAGUAUUUAUAUGGCUCUUGGUUAAUGUGCAGCUGCAUUGACUCAUUAACUCUUUCUGUCUAAAGUCUAUUGAAAUUGUAUAAAAUCAGCAGUAUUAAAUGCAACCAUGAGGCCAGGCUGGACUCAAAGUCCUUAACUAUAGAAGGGUUCAAACGCACUAAUAAACCAUUUAGAAAUGCUACACAUUUUUUGCACACGUUUAAUUUCUGCUGUAUGUAUCUGUUAAGUAUGAGUAGGCUUGUAUUUGCAAGUUUGUAAAUGCACAUGCAUGGUGUACAUCUCCAUCAAUUUGAAAUGGAACCAACGUUAGCGCACGUUAGCGAGUUUGUGCAUGUUGAUCUCACGAUGUAGUUCUUUGUGUUUCUGGGAUGGUUACGUCAUUGAGCCAAGCCGCGGCGUUUGUGAGGAGGGAAGGCUGCCUCAGGUUGCAUGUGUGCUACGUGGCCGCUGUGUUUCAGUCUGACCCCGUGGUAAUGAGGCCACAGGGUGCCGAGAACAGCGUCUCUCUAACAUGGAGAGCGGAGGAAAGAGGCUUCUCUCUGCUCUCAGGACUAUCAACUUUAUUUUGUGGUUUUGUGUGGAAUCCCCACUACUGAUUAGCCCAAGACAGAAAAAUCAAUACCUCUCCCUGUGGAACCUUGGCGAUUACACCCAGAUGAAACUCCCACACCUGAAACCGAGACAAAGGAGGCAGCUCAAGCAUCACAAGUUCCCAUCACCAGCAUGCCUAUUAUUUAAUUUGGUGUGGAAGUAAAGUUGCUCUUUGUGCCACGCCUGCCUUCUCCUCCUCCUGCUCGCGCCAUCAUUGCCGAGGCCACUAGAGGCUGACGUUGUCCUCUGGUGUCUGAGCUUCAGGGUCCUUUUGAAAACACCAGCAUCCCACCAGUACAUGGCAAAGAAGGUACUUUCCC